rnacentral:rRNA from 1 species
AUUUCUGGUAGGAGCGACCGGUCCGCCCUGUUAAGGUUUUUUACUAGCGUUGUCUCUGGCCAUCCUUGGUUUUUCUGCGCGGCCAGACUUGCGUUAGGGAACCCAUCGUUUACUGGGAAAAAAUUAGAGUGUUUAAAGCAGGCUUAUGCCGUUGAAUACAUUAGCAUGGAAUAAUAAGAUAGGACCGCGUGCUCGUCUUGUUGGUUUGCACCGCGAGGUAAUGAUUAAUAGGGACAGGUGGGGGUAUUCGUAUUUAAUUGUCAGAUGUGAAAUUCUUGGAUUUAUGAAAGACGAACUUCUGCGAAAGCAUUUACCAAGGUUGUUUUCAUUAAUCAAGAA